CGGAAAAAAUGAGAGAUUGAGAGCCUCUACAACCCUAGCCGCCACUGCUCCUGCGCCCUUGUCGCCGCUGCUGUUGUUCCUGUCGCCGGCGCCGCUUCUUCGCUGCCACUGCUACAGCCGUGGCUGGUCACCGCAGCCAUCGCGUCAUCUGUCGCCACCGGGGAACCCUUUCUGUUUUUCUCCUUCCCGCGAAUCAGAGAGAAGGGUCUACAGAGGUUGUACAGGAGGAAGAAAGAAAGGAAAAGGCAGAGCAACAUUGAGGAAUUUCAGCGAUUUCGCAAAUUAGGGAAAUUUGUCGCAAGGUACACCUGAGAUCGGAAUGCAUGGGGGAAGUAGCACCCUUAUAUACACAUCUAUCAUCACACUAUCAAACUAUAUUGCAUAAUGACACUUGAACUAUAUCCUGGUUUGGUAUUGUAAUAAUCUUUUAGAUUUCUAUUAGUUCUUUUCCAUGGAUUAUAUGGAUGGAUAGCACUGUGGGAAUGAUAUUAUUAUUAGUUUAAUUUAUUACUACAUGUUCUUUUCCAUGGAUUAUAUGGAUGGAUAGCGUUGUGGGAAUGAUAUUAUUAUUACUUUAA